GCCGCCGGGCGCGGCGGUGCCGGGGAGACCGGCGUGGCCCGUCGGGAGGCUGCGGCCGUCGCGGUGUCCCCUGCCCGCGGGGGCCGUCUCGGCGAGGAGGCGGAGGAGCGAGGAGGACGGGGCCGGGGCCGGGGCCGGGGCCUGGCCCGCUCCGUGAGGGAGCAUGGCGGGGUGGGCAGGGCAGGGCUGAGCUCUGCUCAGCUCCUCACCCGUCUCUUCGCCUCCCUGUCCCUCUUUCCCCCUGUUCUGUCCCAUCUCUCUGUCUGACUGCCCCUCCCUCUUUAUCUCUCCCCACCUUUCUGGCCAGCUCGUCAUCCUUCUCAUUCUCUUCCCAUCGCUCCGACCGGCUCCCUGUCCCUCUCUUCCCGUCCCCGUUCCUCUGUCCGGUUCUCCCCCCUUCUCCUUUGCUCCCUGUCCCUCUCCCUGCCUCCCCUUCCCUCCUUGCCUCUCUUUAGUCUUCUGCCCGCCUCCCCUUCCCUCUUUUUCUCUCUUCUGCUCCCCGGUCCUCUGUGCAGCCCUUCCUCCAUCUGUGCGGCCCUCUCUCCCUCUCUUUCUGUUCCUUUGUCCAGCGCCCAGACCCUGGGGCCAGGUCUCUAUCCUUCUCUUUCUUUCUCCAUCCCUCUGCCAAGCUCUCUGCCCCUCUUUUCUUCUGUUCUGCUCCCUGUCCCCGUGUCCAGGUGGAGGUCUGUCGUUCCUUUGUGUUUUGUCUGGUGCGGCGGGUGUCGAGAGGCAGUUGGUGCUCAGCAGAGCUGGUGAUCAGCAGCGCCCAGAGAGUGCCGUCAGUCGGCCUGGUUUGGGUCACGUCAGACACCUCCAUGGUGGCUCUGGCUGUGGAGGCGCGGGGCUGUGGGUGUGCAGUGGGGGAGCACUAGUGGGCUAGAGAUGCUGUGGGGUGUGUAGUAGGCAGCGAAGAGGCUCCCGGGAAAGGUGUUGCGGAGGCAGAGAGCAGCAGAGGCUCCGAGUCCUCAGGCGUUAGGACAGGCGCUCGCGGUAGGGCGGUCUGGAGCUGCUGCUGCUGUCUGUCCUACUCGUCAGCGCGGUCUGCAGUUACGGCCUCUUGUCUGCCCGCGCGCAGCCAGGGCUGUCACGUGGUGCAGCUUGACUCGCGAUCGCGACGCUGGCAUCGAGCCCACUUUUCUGUCAGGUCUGCCUUUAUGCAAACUCAUUUACAUAGCUCAUUUCUUUCCUUGGAACUCCUUCCUCUUUGCUGUUCUGGCCCCAUCCAAACAAUUUCUCUUUCUAGUAUUAUUAGUGUUGGGCCAUAAGCCUUCUAGAGCUUCCUUUUUUGAAGUCCAGAGGUUCCAGUAUUGUUUGUACUUUGAGAGUAAAGGUCCUUCACAACUGAUGUCUUAAGUUUGCAACUGUCUUACCCGGGAUUUUUGUUUUCGCAAGUUACUGUUUCUUUCAGGAGCCAGCUACAACAGUAACUUUGCUAUAGCAGAGAAAUGGGGUUACAUGUGUAUGAGCAACAGCACUGUAGUACACAGCAAAGCCGUAAUCUACAGUACUGGUAGCACAAGUCAGUUUCCCAUCAGCUCCAUCUCUCCAGGGUUUGGAGGUUUUGGAGGCCUUAGUUUUUAUCCUGCCUUGGCUGGACGGUGCUUUCUGAGAGUGUCCCUCAGAGGCAGAGUUUCCCUGCAGAGGACCAUCUAGCAAAGGCUGGAGGCGGCCGGGUGCCUGAGCGAGCCUGCCUGUCCGUGAGAGCUGCUGUGACAUCUUUGUGAUGAAAUGGAGCCAGAGAGGGUGACUGAAGCAGCACGGAGGGUGCCGAAGCCCAGUCGGGCAGUCGAAGGAGCCGUGUCACAGCUGGGAGCUCUGUGACGGGUGAGCUGAGAGCUGUGAAAGUGUCUUGCAGGGCUCUAGCCUGGGGUAGGGCAGAAGUGCAGACAGGCAAGAUCAGGCAUUUUCCUCUCAUCUCUGAGAUGAAUCCUAUCCCUGAAGGAAAAAGCAGAGGAGUAGGCUGUCAGCUACUCGGACACCUGCCACAUCAAGGGCAGCAGCAGGAGAUGACCCUUCCCUGAUGGAUGGAUGGACGCUGGUGUGGUGAUGACUCUUCAGGCAUCACAGGUAAGGGGAAACAUGCUGACACUGAGCUCCAUGGCAGACUUGCUUCCAGCUGUUGUUUCUGCGCAGUAAAACAAUAAACAGUUGCUUUAUUCUUUGCA